GGAAGCAUGGGAAGAAAGCCUUCUG
rnacentral:piRNA from 1 species